CUCCCUCUAGCCCCGCCCAGUCAGCCCCGCCUUCAGUUACCCAGCCGCUUGGCUGACCACCUCUCCCUCCUCUCCACCAGAGCUGGUCCCAGUGUGGGCCCUUGGGACUGUGUGGAUACUUCAUGGCUCUGUCAAGGAAGGGCAUGUGCCUCCUGCGCAGGAUGCCAAGCACGCAGCUAGCCAGCAAGGAAGCCAGGUAGAGACACAACGAGAGGAGCAGCAGCACCUAGAGCCUGAUGUUGCGGUGCUCCACACAGUUGUUUACCCACCUGCAGUGGUGGUCGAAUACCUAGGGGAGAGGAGGCAGCACUGAGGGUCCAUCUGACCUGGACUCCAACACCCCCAAAUCCUGAGGCUUCCCACAACUCAGCCCUCUAGGCUUCCUGCUCUUGGCCAUACACAUGGGCUCCCAUCUCCAGGGAGAAAACAGCAUUUCCAUUGCUAGAGCACAGGACUCCAUGGCUCAUCAGGUCACCUGUCAUGACUGAGAUCUUUAGAGGCAAGUCCUGCCUGGUGUCACUUGGAGCAGGAUGUAGAAUAACUCUGGGCAUCUAUUUUCUCAGAUACUGGAUAAAGAUGAAAGAAAACACCCUUGCCCAGUGAACCUUGUGCACUUGUAAACCCGUGCAGAUAUAAACUUGUGCACAGGAGAGAAAAACACUCAGAACCCAGUUAACCCUCCAACUGGGACACCCAGAGGUGGACAGGCAAAGAUCCACAGAACAGGGCAGCAGCCAGCCUAAAGGUCUGGGUAUAUAGUAUUAGCAAGCCAAGGGAUGGGACAGUCACUGCCUUUCCUCCCCGACUCCACCAGGCUCAGCACAGAUGGGAUGCCCUUUGCAUGUCAGCACUUGUGCACAGCAAGGCCAGCCUCUCAGGACAGAUGUGAUGGCAUAGCUCUUUGUAAGAAACCUGGCAGCUUGUAUGGGAUACUCACGGGAAGGCAAAAAAUAUGCCACUCAAAGUGACCAGUGCUACCACAUUAACAGAUGCCCAAAGGCUGGGGAAAAGCCAGACAUGUUUGGAUGUUUGGGUGGGGAUAAGAAAACAUUUGAGAUAGUCAUAACUUAGUUGCCUGCUCUGAGAGCUACCAGAUGGCUCUUCUGGGUUGGCACCCAGAGUGCCAUGACAACAAGUGUGACAUCAGAGACGUUCCAGCAUGGGGGCUUUGGCGGCUUCCUGUGACUUCUGAGAGCAACCUUCCCCUACCCCGACAUACACACUUGUGAACUGGGACAAUCUGCUCUUAUGAUGUUGGCUUUGUUGGAUGUGGUUUGUCCCGCAAAGCUUCGUAGGCUGGAGGCUUGGUCCUCAGUGUGGCAGUGUUGAGGUGGUAGAACCUAGAAGAGGUGGGGCCCAGUGUGAGAUAUUUCAGUCACUGGGGACUAGGCCCUUGGAAGGGAGUAACGUACUUCACAUGGGCCCUCAUUUGUUCCUGUGAGAGUGGGUUGUUAUUAAAAGAGCAAGCCUGGUCUCUACCACAUGCAUGUCCUCCCACCAUUAUUUCAUUCACCAUGUUAUGAUGACCCUCACUAAAGGUCAGGGGCUGCCAAAACGCUAACUCUGAGCUAAAUAAACCUCAUCUCUUUAUAAAGUAUCCACUCUUGGUUUUUUGUUAGAGCAAGAGAAAGCUGUCUAAUAUAGAGACCAUAUAGGUAUGGUUUCUGGGGAGAUGGCAUGGGGAGAAGUUUGGUGAUAGUUAUCACCCUUUCAGACCCAGCCAAUUGAAGCAGACAGAGCUCAUUGUUUAUCCUAUCUUCACUUCUUCCUUUUUGUGGUAACAGAGUUCCAGUUUGGGGAAGGAGGUGGCUCUCUACCAAACUCAAUAACUUCUCAGUUUCCCUCAUUUCCAGAGACAUGUGCAAAUGUCGAUUGAGGACUUCUAGAACAGAUUUUGUCUUUUCAACAAAAGGGCAGAUGAUGCAUUUGGCAGAGCUCUGUCCCCUUUCUUUCUGUUUUGAAGCUAGUCCUGCUGGCUGGGAUACCACCAGGGACCCUUUAGGCAACAAGUCAUGCUACCCAGGCACAACUUGUGAAGUGGUUUGUCCCUGUCUUUUCCCUCAACUGCCUCCCCUUGGGCUUCAUAUUAUAAUAAAUGGAUUUUUAUUACACUGA